GCACCCGUAGCUCAAUUGGAUAGAGUACUUGACUACGGAUCAAGUGGUUGGGAGUUCGAAUCUCUCCGGGUGUG
rnacentral:tRNA from 1 species